rnacentral:rRNA from 1 species
UUUAACUGACGCUCAGGCACGAAAGCAUGGGUAGCAAACAGGAUUAGAUACCCUGGUAGUCCAUGCCGUAAACGAUGGUUACUAGGUGUGGGGGGACUGACCCCCUCCGUGCCGCAGUUAACACAAUAAGUAAUCCACCUGGGGAGUACGGCCGCAAGGUUGAAACUCAAAGGAAUUGACGGGGGCCCGCACAAGCAGUGGAGUAUGUGGUUUAAUUCGAAGCAACGCGAAGAACCUUACCGGGGCUUGACAUCCUAGGAACUUGCCAGAGAUGGCUUGUUGCCCUUCGGGGAACCUAGAGACAGGUGGUGCAUGGUUGUCGUCAGCUCGUGUCGUGAGAUGUUGGGUUAAGUCCCGCAACGAGCGCAACCCUUGCUUUUAGUUGCUACGCAAGAGCACUCUAAAAGGACUGCCGUUGACAAAACGGAGGAAGGUGGGGACGACGUCAAAUCAUCAUGCCCCUUAUGUCCCGGGCUACACACGUACUACAAUGGCCGUUAACAGAGGGAAGCAAAGCCGCGAGGCGGAGCAAACCCCUAAAAACGGUCCCAGUUCAGAUUGUAGGCUGCAACUCGCCUAUAUGAAGUUGGGAUGAUAGUAA